UACGAAGGGGACUAGCGUUGUUCGGAAUUACUGGGCGUAAAGCGCACGUAGGCGGAUUUGUAAGUCAGGGGUGAAAUCCUGGAGCUCAACUCCAGAACUGCCUUUGAUACUGAGAAGCUUGAGUUCGGGAGAGGUGAGUGGAACUGCGAGUGUAGAGGUGAAAUUCGUAGAUAUUCGCAAGAACACCAGUGGCGAAGGCGGCUCACUGGCCCGAUACUGACGCUGAGGUGCGAAAGCGUGGGGAGCAAACAGG
rnacentral:rRNA from 1 species